AAAGUCGUAACAAGGUUUCCGUAGGUGAACCUGCGGAAGGAUCAUUAUCAUAACAUCCACGUUAAACCAUUGUGAACCGUAGCUUUUGUGAGAUGGACGCUUGGCUUGGUGAUGAUUCGUCGUUAUUGAGCCGAGUGGAAGUCUUGCAUUAGCAUUUCAAUUAAACCAUUGAACCAAUCAUUAUAACUUUUGUACUAAUCAUCUCCUACUCUCGGCCUCAAAACCUUGAGAUGAGAUAAAUACGAAACAUAAGAACAACUCUUAGCAACGGAUAUCUUGGCUCUC
rnacentral:misc_RNA from 1 species